GCAGCUGGACCAUUCUUCACCCAGACAUCACGCCCGCUAUCUCUCUUCAAUCACCACGCCACCAACAACCCCUCGGUGCAGCCCAGUGUCCGUCCGUUGCUGCUGCUGCUGUGUGGAGGCUAGCGGUCCCUCCCUCCCCACUCUACUCCACUCCACUCCAUCCCACCGCACUGCGCAGUACAGUACAGCCUGAGGAGAGGUGUUGACAAUCCAAAGACCUGACUCCACAGCGAUAAUGAGUUCUCUCUACCACUUUCACUGACAACGCCCACUACCAACACCUCUGCCUCGCCACCGCUGCAAGAUCAGAGGACUGUCUUGCAUCGCGCCCACACACACCAUACUCUAAAGCCGCCGCUCAGGAGUGGGUGAUAGAGAUGCAGGUGUGGUGAGGAGGCAGAUUGACAACUAGAACCAGCAGAUGACGGCAGACACGGAGGAUUCCACUUACCAGGAAUUGGCGAUCCAAAGGCCUGAGUGCAGCGAUCCCGUGAGGGACUCCGGCUUCCCGCGGCCUUCACUGACCCUUCCCACAAAACCACCACCACCGUCGCCGUUACUGCCAGCUGAGGAGUCGGCUGGCCUCAUAGCGCAUUCCAGUGGCCCGGCAAACACCUAUACCACCACCACCAUCACCACCGCCGCUGCCGUCGUCGUCCAGCGAGAUUCAGCUUAGCAUCGCACACAUUGUCACUCAACACCUGCCGCCGCGGCCCCCUACCCCCGCCGCAGCCCCCGCCCCCUCCCCCACCACCAGCAAGGAUUCUGCAUGGCACCUUGACCCUGCACGGCCAUCACCUACUGUUACUGGUACUGCUGGUGGUGUUAGUGGCCAGGGAGGGAAGAGUUGCGGGUUGGCGUGGCAGUCGGUCUUCUCCACUCAUUGUGGGUGGUAUAUGUACUUAGACAGGUGUGGUGGUGUGGUGCCAUUACUCCAUUGUAAUAAAUUGUCUUCACUGCCUCAUUAUGUUGUCACUGUACUAAGAGCUGUUGUCACUUACUGAAUAAAUUGUGAAGAAAUCUUUA